AUUGUCACACUGUUCCUGCUUCCUGACAGGUUCACUUGAACCAUCUGGAGAUUGGGGAACAAGGGCAAUGAGUUGAACAUGUAGGAAGUUUCAUGGCCCAGCCCCUCCUGAGAGCCCUGAACUGCCAACCAGACUGAGCCCAUCAGAGAAUAACACCUCAUUUUCUGAGGAUUCUGAUACCUUUUCAAUCAGAAACAGAAGCAAAGAUUCUGCAGCUCCCACAGAAACUCCCAGAAACCUUGCGGUGCUUCACCCUUCUGAGAUCCUUGAGUCCGAAUGUGGGAGCUAACCAGGUUGCCUUUCUUUACUUACCAUGAAUUCCUCCUAGACUCGUGGUGGCACCUAGGCUUUGGUUCACUCUCACUCUGUUACUAACACUUUUUAUUAAGUAAUGGGAAGGGAAGUAAAUCAUUUAUUUUAUGGCUAAACAUAUAUGCUCAUUAUUCAUAUUAUAUAUCAAUGGUUCCAGGGGAAAAAUAGAUGCACAUUUGAUGUGCAAAUUAUGUAAAAGUGUUUAGGACUUGGCUAUAUAUGUUUCUUUGGUGGAGAAAUAUCUAUGUGAUAGAGAUUUCUUUGGGAAAGAUGACACUCACAAAAAAAGCCAGAAAUUUCUGUUUUAUAGAUUUUGAUAAAAUGUAUGAAAUAAUUUUCGCAGCCAAAGGAAAGUAUAGCACAGUAUAUUAUGGAGAGAUGUUACAGCUCAGGAAAAUUAAUACAUGUCAGCUGUUUAAUAAAUUAUGCAUUUAAUUAUUGCCAGUACAGUCACAAUACAUGCUAAUCUAUGAGAAUAUAUUUAUUGCAAUAGAAUAUAAACCCAAAUGGAUGCUAAAUCUAUGUCUUAUCUUUCAUUAAGCAUGGCACUAAAGAGGGCAUAAGGCACCUGCAAUGUACUAGAUAAAUAUGUAUAAAUAUUAGAUUUUCCAUAGACUGGAGGAUAAGUUUUUGUGGUGCACAUGGAAAGAGUACAGAAAAAGAACUCAGGUGGUAGGUGGUGGUGUAACAAAGUAGGAAAACGAUGUAAUAAUUAAUAAUACUUUAAAUUUUCUUUUUAUAGGAUUUUUGUUUAAUGUGUACCUUUUUAUUUAUUUCUGCUUUUCCUCCCGAGGCACAUCUUCACAAUGAAAUCUUCACAAGCUCAGAACCAUCAACUUGCUACACUGUGUUCCUCCAGUGCCCAGUUCACAGGAAGCACUCAAGAGUAGGAUCAAUUGUUAUCAACCUCUAGCAGAUUAUUGAAUAGACGGUCGUUACAUGAAACUGACACUCAGUUCUUCAUGGUCCACGAUAGUUCUUAUAUCCAGAAAACGUACUUACGUUAUCAACUCUGACUCCAUAAGACAACUUUGCAAAGUCUUGGCUCAUAACUAUUCUUCCUCCAGACAGGCACGCCAUACAACCGACUACACUUGGGCUCACUGAAUGAAUCACAUUCUUCUGCUGUGCCUCCCAGAGAUUUCAUCAAAGCACCCGCAGUGGCCUUCUGGAGGCUCCUCAAACUCUCCACUCAAUGUUUCCUGAAAGUGUCGUGUUUCUCACCUCUAGAUUGUUAUUCUCAUCAGUUACAUGUGGGUUUCACAAAUUUAUUUCUCAGAAUGCAAGUCUGUCUCUUAUAUCCUCGGGAAACACACCUUUAUAUCCCAGUUAGUACUGACAAAAAUUAAACUAGGGACUGGCCAAAAACAGUGCCUUUCCUCACUUUAAUCUCACUAAAGUAGAUAAGACUCAAGUUAUUUUGUUCUUGCAAUGGCAUUGACAAAUGUUUGCACCAAAAACCAUGUUGAAGUUCAUUAAGGAAACUGUGAUCCAAGAUCCAAGGUCAAAAAAACAAAUUCAUCAAUUCAGCACACCACCAACUCACAGGCUAAGCAUCUUACUGCUAAUUCAUUGAUGCUGCCAUUUGUCAAGUGCCAAAUUGAAUUA
rnacentral:lncRNA from 1 species